GACAGAGGGUGCAAACGUUGUUCGGAAUUACUGGGCGUAAAGCGCGUGUAGGUGGCGAGGCAAGUCGGGUGUGAAAGCCCUGGGCUCAACCCAGGAAGUGCACUCGAUACUGCCUAGCUAGAGUCCCGGAGAGGUUGGUGGAACUCUCGGUGUAGAGGUGAAAUUCGUAGAUAUCGAGAAGAACACCGGUGGCGAAGGCGGCCAACUGGACGGUGACUGACACUGAGGCACGAAGGCCAGGGGAGCAAACGGG
rnacentral:rRNA from 1 species